rnacentral:misc_RNA from 1 species
GAUGAAGAACGUAGCGAACGUGCGAAACGUAAUGUGAAUUGCAGAAUUCAGUGAAUCAUCGAAUCUUUGAACGCAUCUUGCGCUCCUUGGUAUUCCGAGGAGCAUGCCUGUUUGAGUGUCGUGAAUACUCUCAACAUCAACCCUUUUUUCGGAAAGGGAGGAAGGUUGGACUUGGGUGUUUGUUGAAGUGCGAGCUUCGACUCAUCCUAAAUGCAUUAGCGAUCUGCCUCGAUCACACACAAUGUGAUAAUUAAAACUAAAGCAUUGUUUAAUGAUCAAGUCGAGAAUGCUUCUAACUGUCGCAAGACAAUAACGUGCAUACAUUUGUGCAUGUCAUUUGACCUCAAAUCAGGUAGGACUACCCGCUGAACUUAAGCAUAUCAAUAAGCGGAGGA